rnacentral:rRNA from 1 species
AUUGAACGCUGGCGGCAGGCCUAACACAUGCAAGUCGAACGGUAACAGGAAGCAGCUUGCUGCUUUGCUGACGAGUGGCGGACGGGUGAGUAAUGUCUGGGAAACUGCCUGAUGGAGGGGGAUAACUACUGGAAACGGUAGCAAAUACCGCAUAACGUCGCAAGACCAAAGAGGGGGACCUUAGGGCCUCUUGCCAUCGGAUGUGCCCAGAUGGGAUUAGCUAGUAGGUGGGGUAACGGCUCACCUAGGCGACGAUCCCUAGCUGGUCUGAGAGGAUGACCAGCCACACUGGAACUGAGACACGGUCCAGACUCCUACGGGAGGCAGCAGUGGGGAAUAUUGCACAAUGGGCGCAAGCCUGAUGCAGCCAUGCCGCGUGUAUGAAGAAGGCCUUCGGGUUGUAAAGUACUUUCAGCGGGGAGGAAGGGAGUAAAGUUAAUACCUUGGCUCAUUGACGUUACCCGCAGAAGAAGCACCGGCUAACUCCGUG